rnacentral:misc_RNA from 1 species
AACGCAUAUUGCGCCCUUUGGUAUUCCGAAGAGCAUGCUUGUUUGAGUAUCAGUAAACACCUCAAAGCUUUUGGAUUUUUUUUGAAAGUUUUGGACUUGAGCAAUCCCAACACCAAUCUUUUUCAGAUCGGCGGCGGGUUGCUUGAAAUGCAGGUGCAGCUGGACAUUCUCCUGAGCUAAAAGCAUAUUCAUUUAGUCCCGUCAAACGGAUUAUUACUUUUGCUGCAGCUAACAUAAAGGGAGUUUGACCGCAUUGGCUGACUGAUGCAGGAUUUUACAAGGGUCGGCAACGAUUCUUGUUAAACUCGAUCUCAAAUCAAGUAAGACUACCCGCUGAACUUAA